rnacentral:rRNA from 1 species
AUACGAAGGGGGCUAGCGUUGUUCGGAAUCACUGGGCGUAAAGCGCACGUAGGUGGAUCAAUCAGUUGAGGGUGAAAUCCCGGGGCUCAACCUCGGAACUGCCUUAAUACUGUUGGUCUUGAGUCCGAGAGAGGUGAGUGGAAUUCCUAGUGUAGAGGUGAAAUUCGUAGAUAUUAGGAAGAACACCAGUGGCGAAGGCGGCUCACUGGCUCGGUACUGACGCUGAGGUGCGAAAGCGUGGGGAGCAAACAGGAUUAGAUACCCUAGUAGUCC